rnacentral:rRNA from 1 species
UCGUGGGUUGACCUGUCUGCUUGAUUGCGAUAACGAACGAGACCUCCACCUACUAAAUACAGUGGCGUAUUCGUACGUGUUCUGUUCUUAGAGGGACUACCUGUGCAAGCAGGGGGAAGGCUGGAGGCAAUAACA